GGCACGACGGGAAAUGUAGUCCCGCCGGGGCGGGGUUUCCUCUCCGGUGGCGGCUGGGCUUUGCCGUGGGAGCGGCGUACCGGGGGUGGUGACUGGGGAUUGCGUGCUGCACGCGCCCACAGCCGGCCGGGCAUGGCCCCUCAGCGGCAGCAGGACCUCGACUGCCACGGGACGUCGCCCUGGCGCCGCCGGGCCUGCCUCGCGGCCUGCCCUCGCCUCGCCUCGCCGCCCGCGGUGCCCGGGCUUUGCCUCCCUCAGAUCUGGCAGAAAGACCCACGAGGGGACUGAGAAUGGCUCUCAGAGAAAGGGAAAAAUCAACUCCUGGGAGCAAACCUGAAGGUUGUUCUCCCCUCCUUGUCGGAAAGGAAGACUGAAGAUGAUCUCGGAAUAGUUUGUAAGGGUCUUUCUGUAACUCUGGCAACAGAUGCUGUAAGACCGCUAGCGAUGGCUAAGUAUUCUGCUUUAUUGCUGAAAGGGGCUGAAGCAUUUAGACGUGAACAGGCUGAUCGGGCCAAACAACACAAUAUCAUAUUAAUCAACGUAACAGCAAAAGUGGCCUCUGAUGGAGAAAAUGGUGAGAACUGUUUUCACAUGGUGACACAAGUAUUUGUCCUAUAAACGUAUCAGCUGUUUUGUCUGACUUAUUCAUAGUCGUGUAGCAAAUAGUGUAGUUAUCAGCUGUUUAAGAUACAUAUUAUGAAGAGUAAAACUAUUGUUUAAAAAAUAUACAAAGUUUUUUUUUGUGAAAGCAUAUUUACACAAGAAAUGAUGACAACUCUUAAAUUAUGUGCUGUUUUACUAUUUUUAAGAACAAGACUGCACAGAUGCCUUUUCCAUAGAACUGGUUGCUAAAUACAGUUUCUGGGGCAUUUGUGAUGUGCCCCAGAAAAUAAACUCCAUCCCAACAAUACCCAAUACACUGUCUCACUUUGGGUUGUGAUCAUGCUGAAUCAUGUAAACCAGGCAUUUCUGAGCUACUGGUAAUCACAUAAUUGGAAACCUUGACAGAGAAUCCACAGGCAGGAAGACUGGCAGUUGGUAUUGACUAGGUGUGUAAUAUUCUUCCUCAUAGUCAAUGUUACACUGAUGUCUCAGGACAUACUGUUAGAAAUGGCUCUACAGCAGGAAUAAUAAAUUGAAUCCUGUACUUAGAGAAGUCAGUAUGAGCUUUGCCGCUGUUUUCACAUAGCCAUGACUUUGCAUCUUAGUUUUCCUGUGGAUUUCAAGUCCUUGUAUGCUUUGGACAUAAAAAUGGAGUAGUAUUGUUGAUACAGAAGGAAAGAUACAGUCCAGGAACAUUGGCUACUUCAGAAA